AAACGCUGAUGGGGAGAUUGUUUUGUGUAGCUUCUAACCCUCUCCUAUGAUUCCCCAAAGCUUUCAUGGUUAUGCUGGGUAAAGCUUGAGAUUUGGUUCCUCAACUU
rfam:Eutrema salsugineum unplaced genomic scaffold scaffold_18, whole genome shotgun sequence.